CUCCUCUCAGGAUGGCAUCUGGAGAGUUUCCAGUACUCUGCCAGUCUCGGCUACGGAGGGAGAGAUAAGCAGCGAGGUGUACCCAUUCUAUUCCUAGCUUGGGCAAUAGCUAGCUAGUGGAAGGCAAUCUUCUUCAAGU